rnacentral:rRNA from 1 species
UACGUAGGGAGCGAGCGUUAUCCGGAAUUAUUGGGUGUAAAGGGUGCGUAGACGGGAAGAUAAGUUAGUUGUGAAAUCCCUCGGCUUAACUGAGGAACUGCAACUAAAACUGUUUUUCUUGAGUGCAGGAGAGGUAAGUGGAAUUCCUAGUGUAGCGGUGAAAUGCGUAGAUAUUAGGAGGAACACCAGUGGCGAAGGCGGCUUACUGGACUGUAACUGACGUUGAGGCUCGAAAGCGUGGGGAGCAAACAGG